rnacentral:rRNA from 1 species
GAUGAACGCUGGCGGCGUGCCUAAUACAUGCAAGUCGAGCGAACGGACGAGAAGCUUGCUUCUCUGAUGUUAGCGGCGGACGGGUGAGUAACACGUGGAUAACCUACCUAUAAGACUGGGAUAACUUCGGGAAACCGUAGCUAAUACCGGAUAAUAUUUUGAACCGCAUGGUUCAAAAGUGAAAGACGGUCUUGCUGUCUCUUAUAGAUGGAUCCGCGCUGCAUUAGCUGGUUGGUAAGGUAACGGCUUACCAAGGCAACGAUGCAUAGCCGACCUGAGAGGGUGAUCGGCCACACUGGAACUGAGACACGGUCCAGACUCCUACGGGAGGCAGCAGUAGGGAAGCUUCCGCAAUGGGCGAAAGCCUGACGGAGCAACGCCGCGUGAGUGAUGAAGGUCUUCGGAUCGUAAAACUCUGUUAUUAGGGAAGAACAGAUGUGUAAGUAACUGUGCACAUCUUGACGGUACCUAAUCAGAAAGCCGCGGCUAACUACGUG